ACGGCGAUUUUCUGAUUGAAAGCUUUGCGGGCCUUACUGGGGUGUGGGCGUGGCCUGGCGGCUGCGUCGCGCUGUCUGUCUGAGCAGCGAGUGAAAGGGUGGAAGAUGGCGGCGUGAAGAGGUGGAGAGGCGAAGAGGCCCUGCUGGGCCCGGGAAUCCCGGGACAUGAACACGGCAGGUACGCCACAGUUGACUGGAAGCCGUUCUACCCUCCCUGCACAAGGAGAAGAGCAGCACGAUACAAUGUCUACAUGGAUGAUCCCAGAGCUCCCGCAAGCUUCUGGCCCCGACGUUGAUUGAUCCUGCAGAUGUUCGCUGCAGCGUUUUGAAGGUCAGGGGAAGAUCAGAUGACUCCGGGGCCCCGCACAAUACUCUGGCCUAUCCGGCAGCACAUUAACUAGCGAUGGUGACGGUGCCUCCCCUGCAUUUGCUGAUAGCAGAGACUUUCCAGCCUAUGAACAAUGAGCGCUGUAGUCUAUUAGACAGUAAUGUAGCUGCUCCGCUCACAGGUACCUGCUCAUUAAAUGAACUGAAGGCAGCUAUGAAGCCCUUCCUUAGUGGAAAUGGAACGUGGCCCCUUGUCUCAUUUGACAGGCUAAAAUGAGGUCUUGAAACUGAAAGCCAAGUAUCAUGUACCAAAUAUUACAGAUUGUGCAGCUUUACCACUGAAUGCACAAUUAUGUCAUGCCAAUUACAAUCCAUUUUUUUUGUUUUGAAAAGUCCAUUUUGCUUUUAUCGUUGAGGAACGACAAUAUGAAUAUGAAUCUAAAGUCUUAUUCAUUUGCAGUGUCCUUUCUAGAUUCCUACACGUCGCCCCUUUUAAUAGAAGCAGAUAUAAUAGGAAAGAAAACCUCCUUGAUGUAUAUAAUAAUGCUAUUUUACCAUGAAAAGGAACUGUGAGAAAAAUGGAGUUUUUACUUCAGUCAGCUUCAGGGUUGGGCCACAAGAUCUUCCAUUUCCCAUUUUCACUCAACUUCGCAUUUCAUGAAGCAUUUUUUUUCCUCCGUUUCCAGUCCUUUUCUAACCAUGGGAUUUGGACCAUACGGACUUGCAAUGUUUCCACUUUUUUAUGAAGGUAAUGUAUUCAGGACAUCGCAGUUGUGUGCUAUUCUACAUCAGAGACCUCAGAUCAAAAGAAAAAACUCCCGUUGUUUACAGAUGCACUUAAUUUCAUGCACAACUUUAUCUUUCAUGAAGAUGGCUGGAGAAAUCUACUGGUCCUUGCAGCGUCAACUUUCGUGACUGUUUGGAAACUUCUACAAAAACAAAUGAGUUCCUGAGGGAAAUUAGACAGCUUAUGUCAAAAUAUGUCCCCUACAAAAAAAAAUAUAUAUUUCUGCUCGUCACUGAAAGAUUAAUAUUUUAAGAGAAGUUUUUUCUUUCAACAACUUUUUGAUUUCAUCCUUUGAAUUCUUUCUUCAGAUUCAUCUUUGCAUAUUAGGUAUGUAUUAAAUGGGAGCCGAGAGUCUGAGCUUUUUUUUUUUACAAUUAUUAUUAUAAAUAGAUAUACAGAAUAUGGGUUUUGGUGCAUGUAUUUGUAAGGAUCAUUUUUAGUCAGGUGGUUGGGUUAUUUUAGUAUUAUGAAGAGAUUAUAACAGGCUCUUUUUAUAGUUUAUUGAAAAACUUCGAUUUGAUUCCCUCGGGGAGAGAACAAGGGAAUUGUGUAAAUGCAGUAGUUUUUGCAAUUUUUGUUGGGUAAUGUGGAGUUUUAGCAUUAUGUGGUGGAGAAGCAAUUUUUCAGUUGUAUAUCAGCCAACCUUCUUGAAAUCAUGGGUGCUUUGUGACUAGAAGUAUCCCUAUAGUGUGCCACAAUGUUCCAAAGUGGAUAUUUGCAUCAAUUGUAUUCUGAGGGGUUAAUCCUAGAAAAUACAGUUCUACAACUUUUAGGCCAAAUUGACUCUUCAAGAGGUAUAAAAGUGAAAGGCUCAAACUAAAUUAUAUUAUUUAUAAUGGACAAAAUUCAUACUGCUGUCCAUUUGAAAAUUAAGUUGGGAACUUUGCUUAUAGGGGAUUAAUUGCAUCAAUCAUAGCACUGCUUUGCUACGGCAGGUACAUUUUAAGGGGCGUUGAGUUCUUUAUUACCCCUUCUCAUAACUGCUGAAGAACAAUUUGGAAUGGGUGAACCUGUGUUUGAAAAUCACAGUAAUAUUUUAUUUUGUACUUACUUUUUUUCUGGAACCAAAACCAGGUAUUUACCCAAACUCCAAAGGUAAUCGGUUGUAUUCAUCACAGAGCUAUUUCUCCACAUUGCCUUGAAUCCUCUCUUGUAGAGGCUUUUUUUUUUUUAUUUUCAUUACUGGGGAUGUGCAAUAUUGCCGUACAUAUGUAUAUUUUACUACUUGUGAACAAAAUGUUACAAGUUGUCUGAGAACAACAAAAUCACCAAUGUCUUCCAUUUUGAGAUGUGUAUAGUUCCAUAAAAAGCAUUAGUGCUAUGUAGCAAAUUGUAGUGCCACUUUAGGAUCUGUGCAUGAGAUUAACGUUUUUUUUUUGUAACUGUUUUUUGAGUAAAAACAAUUUAUUGCUACCAAAUUUAAAGAAAAAAAAAGGUGCAGUGUUCCUUAUUAGUCCAGAAGAAGCUCUGCCAGCAGCCGCUGAUUUCUCUUGCUGCAUUUAUAGUCUUUAAAUAAUAGGCACUUGCUUUGUAUAUAGGGUAUAUCUGAUAUAGCAGAUAUUAGGGACAUUUUAAAAUAAAGGUAUUGAAAUAUAUAUAUAUUUUUAAAACAUUGAAUCAGAAAAACAGCUGCAUGAAAUCAAAUGGGGAAUUGCCGGGAAACUGUAAGAAUUCUUACAGAGUAUUGACACAAGUACAUAUUCAAGCAUGGAUUGCAUAGGCUGUAGUAAUACAUGGUAUUGCUAGAAAGACGAUCUGAGGUUGAGUUAAAAUACAGUGGUUGGCAGGAUCAUAUCUGCCAUGUAGGUACUGUGGGUCCAUGUUUAGGGGGGUAGCCCCUAGGUGCCUAUAUGGUAAAUAAAACUAUUUGGAAGGCAGAGCUGGGGGAACCUUCUUUCCCAGUGAUAAGCACAGGACAGACAGGCUGCCUGCGUAUGUGCUAACCGCUGGUGAAGGGGGACAGGCUAAGGUUUAGUGCCUAAGGCAGCACCGGACCUAAAAACAGCCUGUUUGAUGUGUUAUGCUUUUGUAAGCUGUGCUUUUAAUGAAACCACUAGAUUUUAGAAAUGAUUGUGAAUACUGGACUAAGAAAAAAAAAUCCACUAGCCUUUUUCCUUUCAAAUAGAACCCCUAAUAUCAUCUCAUUGACUUUGUGUUGAUAUUGUGGGGUGGAUACACUGCACCUUUUUAUUAAGGACCUAUUUGUAAAUGUGCCCCGGCGAAGGGGUUCUUCUAGGCAAAUGCAUGCUCUUCUUUUAAUGUUAAGUAUUUCUAUAUAUUAGGAAGUAAGAGAAUGUAUAAAUGGUGAACAAGUAGUAUUGGAGGUUUUUUUAGGAGCCUCUUCCAUGUAUGCAUGGUGUCACAGAACAAAGACUUCAACCAAGGAAGCAAUAAGAGCUCAGCUUUAUGGUAGCAUUCAUUUCAACUAGAUUAGGUGCAACAUUAAGGAGAAACCUGAAAUACCUCUGUGACUGGAAUCCAGAAAGCACAGUAUGUUGUUCUUGAUGCAAACAAAGCCAUACCUUGUUAUACCUUCAGUAGCAAUAAGAAUUUUGCAUGAUUUAGUCGCUUACCUUUGUACAGUAGAACGCUGGUUGUAAUUAUCCGCAUGUUACCAGGGGCUGGGGUUAUUUACGUUCAGAGUUGGCAUUUUUAUUGCUCUUGUGAAAUUGGAUUUUUGAGAUGGAUUUUCAUGGAAUCACCAUAAAUCUCUUUAGCACCUAUGUAGCAAGGUUGCACAAUAUCCUUAUAUUUCAGCUCGAUAUUGAAGUCUUUUUAUGGAUAUUACUGAAGGACUGAGCAUUGUUCUUGCAGGCUAUUUCAGACUGUGUCAAUUCUGAUAGGGAUAUACAUUUUUAUUUGUAAAAUUGUGUACUCAGACAGUUCACCUACUUCUAUAACCUUGUUACAGAUACUUUUUAUGUUGGCUCCUUGUCAGUGUGUUAAAUGUUUUAAGAGAAAACGUACCCUUUAAAGAGCAAUAGCGUGCUUGCAUGUAUAAAUACAAACACACAGAAUGUUCUGUGAGUAUAACAAGCUGUGUUUAUACUGUAUUGUCAUGCGGAAAAACACGGAACAUAAGCACUACCUAAAACAAGGGUUUGCUGCAAACUGGUGAAAAAAAAUCUGUUGCACAGAUAUAAAUGCCCAUUGAUGGGACAGAUUCUUUCAUCAUUU